UACGUAGGGACCAAGCGUUGUUCGGAUUUACUGGGCGUAAAGGGCGCGUAGGCGGCAAUUCAAGUCAUCUGUGAAAUCUCCGGGCUUAACUCGGAACGGUCAGAUGAUACUGCUUUGCUAGAGUGCGGAAGGGGCAAUCGGAAUUCUUGGUGUAGCGGUGAAAUGCGUAGAUAUCAAGUGGAACACCAGUGGCGAAGGCGAGUCCCUGGACAACUCCUGACACUGAGGCACGAAAGCUAGGGGAGCAAACAGG
rnacentral:rRNA from 1 species